UAGGGAAUCUUCGGCAAUGGGGGGAACCCUGACCGAGCAACGCCGCGUGAGUGAAGAAGGUUUUCGGAUCGUAAAGCUCUGUUGUUAAGGAAGAACGAGUGUGAGAAUGGAAAGUUCAUGCUGUGACGGUACUUAACCAGAAAGGGACGGCUAACUACGUGCCAGCAGCCGCGGUAAUACGUAGGUCCCGAGCGUUGUCCGGAUUUAUUGGGCGUAAAGCGAGCGCAGGCGGUUAGAAAAGUCUGAAGUGAAAGGCAGUGGCUCAACCAUUGUAGGUUUUGAAAACUGUUUAACUUGAGUGCAGAAGGGGAGAGUGGAAUUCCAUGUGUAGCGGUGAAAUGCGUAGAUAUAUGGAGGAACACCGGUUGCGAAAGCGGCUCUCUGGUCUGUAACUGACGCUGAGGCUCGAAAGCGUGGGGAGCGAACAGG
rnacentral:rRNA from 1 species